rnacentral:lncRNA from 1 species
UUCACCCUCUAAUUCAUUUUAUACUAUCUUGGGUGAUUUUUCAAAUUCACGUCACUGUGCUGCCUGAAUUCUGUUUCUUUGCAAAAUUUUAUCCUUUCAUGAUUUCCAUGCAUAAUUUAUCACCUAAUCUUUCAUAACAGCAAACACCUUCAUCCUUAAUCAUUUUAAUAACCAUACAUCAUCAAAUACUUACACAUCACUCAUUAGCAAAAUCAUCACUACAAACAUACAAAAUAACUAAAUCCCUAUACAUGCCAUAACUUAAACGUGUUUCAAUAUAAAAUACCGAGCAGUUGUAGUUGAUAGUGUGGACGAUCUCCGACUUCUUUAGGAUCCUUGAAGUAGCUUAGCAAUACUAUAAGAGAAAGAGAAAUAAAAGAAGUAAGCAUAAAGCUUAGUAAGUUUACUAGCAAAUAAAUAACAAUAUUUAACUUAAAUAAUUAAACUCAGUGUCUAUAUCUCUAGUUUACUCUUUAGUUAAUCUCAUACUAGUUCUCUUACUUGUUUACUUAGAAUAUUUGUGUGCAUAACUUACUCAAUCUCUGCUGCAUCGUUGAACAUCAAUUGAUAGUAUAAUAAGUUCUUAAGUCUUACAAGUUACCUGAGCUUGCCAUUUAUGCUUUAAACUGAACUUUCAUGAACAUGAUUCGUUUACAAGCCCGUUGAACUACAUUGGAAUAAUAAGGAUACUCAGGUCUCUUCGAUAAUAACAUGCCAAAGCCAUGUCCCAGACAUGGUCUUACAUGGGAUGUUCUCGUGAUGGUGCCCAUGCCAUGUCCCAGACAUGGUCUUAUAGGGGACCUCUCAUCUCGGUGCCAACGCCAUGUCCCAGACAUGGUCUUACAUGGGACCUCUCGUCUCGGUGCCCAUGCCAUGUCCCAGACAUGGUCUUACAGGGGACCUCUCAUGAUCUUAAGGAUGCCAAUGCCAUGUCCCAGACAUGGUCUUACAUGGGAUCUCUUUACCCAAAUGUCAUGACAUUCGUAUCCAGUACCAUCCUUAUGUAUCAACGGGACUUUUAAAUUUUAAUUCUCUAUCAUUUCAUGCUUGGAUCAUCAUCAAAUAAAUUCAUAAAAUAAAUUCAUAAUUGCUGGAAAUUAAUAGCAUUAAUAAUAAAUAUUGAAAUAUUGCAUUUAUUUACCGUAAACUUACCUCGGUACCAAUUAUAGCCAAAUUCACCAACUUAGUCUUCAACUUUAUUCUUCCCUUUGUCUAACCUCGAGUUUUGUACUUCUUGAUCAAAUUACUUUGAACCUUAAAACCCCAAAUUUCCCUUUUUCUUUUCUUUUCUUUUCUUUCUUUCCUUCCUUCCUUCUCUGUUUCGUUUUGCUCUCUGUUUCUUUCUUUCUCCCUUCUCUGUUUUGUUUUGCUCUCUGUUUCUUUUAUUUCUUUCUUUGUCAUAUAUAUAAUAAUAUAAUAUAAUAAUAUAAUAUAAUAUAAUAUAAUAU